UUAAAGUUUUAUUUUGGCUUAAAAAUUUGUUAUUAAUUUGAUUUAUAUGUAAAUUUUUGUGUGAUUUUAUAUUUAUUUAAAAAAUAAAUAUGAAAAUUUAUUCGCAGUAAUUAAUAUUAUUAAUUAAAGAAAUUUAGAAAUAGCAAUAUAAAAAAGUAUUGACUAAAUUGGUGCCAGCAGUCGCGGUUAUACGAAUUAUGCAAAUAAUUUUAUUUAGUUUAAAGUUAAAUUAUUAAAUUUAAAAUAUAAAAUAAAUUUAUUAAGUGAAAUUUUUAAAUUUAUAAAAAAUUUAAUUUAUUUUAAUUAAAGCUUAAAAAUUUUAAUAAUAAACUAGGAUUAGAUACCCUAUUAUUUAAAAUGUAAUUAUUUAAACUAAGGUAGUAGUAGUUAUGAUCUUGAAACUUAAAAAAUUUGGCGGUAUUUUAGUCUAUUCAGAGGAACCUGUUUUAUAAUCGAUAAUCCACGAUGGACCUUACUUGAGUUUGUUAUCAGUUUAUAUACCGUCGUUAUUAGAAUAUUUUAUAAGAAUUUUUAAUUUUUAUAAUUUUUAAAGAGAAAAUAUAUCAGAUCAAGGUGUAGCUUAUAUUUAAGUAAAAAUGGGUUACAAUAAAAUUAUUUAAAUGAAUAUAAAUUUGAAAUUUUUAUUGAAGGUGGAUUUGAUAGUAAAAUUAUAUAGAUUAAUAAUUUGAUUUUAGCUCUAAAAUAUGCACACAUCGCCCGUCGCUCUUAUUAUUAAGGUAAGAUAAGUCGUAACAUAGUAGAUGUACUGGAAAGUGUAUCUAGAAUGC
rnacentral:ncRNA from 1 species